GACGAACGCUGGCGGCGUGCUUAACACAUGCAAGUCGAGCGGUAAGGCCCUUUCGGGGGUACACGAGCGGCGAACGGGUGAGUAACACGUGGGUGACCUGCCCUCAGCUCUGGGAUAAGCCUGGGAAACUGGGUCUAAUACUGGAUAUGACUCCACGGUGCAUGUCGUGGGGUGGAAGGCCUUGUGCGGCUGAGGAUGGGCCCGCGGCCUAUCAGCUUGUUGGUGGGGUGANGGCCUACCAAGGCGACGACGGGUAGCCGGCCUGAGAGGGCGACCGGCCACACUGGGACUGAGACACGGCCCAGACUCCUACGGGAGGCAGCAGUGGGGAGUCUUGCGCAAUGGGCGAAAGCCUGACGCAGCGACGCCGCGUGAGGGAUGACGGCCUGGUGUAAC
rnacentral:rRNA from 1 species